GCCGAAGUGGCGGAACCGGUAGACGCAGCGGACUCAAAAUCCGCCGAUGGCGACAUCGUGAGAGUUCGAGUCUCUCCUUCGGCACCA
rnacentral:tRNA from 1 species